rnacentral:rRNA from 1 species
GCGUGCAGGAAGAAGGCCCUCGGGUUGUAAACUGCUUUUGUACGGAACGAAAAGGUCCUGGCUAAUAUCUGGGGCUGAUGACGGUACCGUAAGAAUAAGCACCGGCUAACUACGUGCCAGCAGCCGCGGUAAUACGUAGGGUGCAAGCGUUAAUCGGAAUUACUGGGCGUAAAGCGUGCGCAGGCGGCUGUGUAAGACAGGUGUGAAAUCCCCGAGCUCAACUUGGGAAUUGCACUUGUGACUGCAUAGCUAGAGUACGGCAGAGGGGGAUGGAAUUCCGCGUGUAGCAGUGAAAUGCGU